rnacentral:rRNA from 1 species
UACGAAGGGGCUAGCGUUGCUCGGAAUUACUGGGCGUAAAGCGCACGUAGGCGGCUUUCUAAGUCGGGGGUGAAAUCCUGGAGCUCAACUCCAGAACUGCCUUCGAUACUGGAAAGCUCGAGUCCGGGAGAGGUGAGUGGAACUGCGAGUGUAGAGGUGAAAUUCGUAGAUAUUCGCAAGAACACCAGUGGCGAAGGCGGCUCACUGGCCCGGUACUGACGCUGAGGUGCGAAAGCGUGGGGAGCAAACAGGG